AGGUUAAGUUAAUAAGGGCGCACGGUGGAUGCCUUGGCACUAGGAGCCGAAGAAGGACGUGACAAACGACGAUAUGCCUUGGGUAGCUGUAAGUAAGCGAUGAUCCAGGGAUUUCCGAAUGGGGGAACCCAACAGGUGCUACCUGUUACCCAUAUCUGUUAAGGAUGUGAGGAGGAAGACGCAGUGAACUGAAACAUCUAAGUAGCUGCAGGAAGAGAAAGCAAAAGCGAUUGCCUUAGUAGCGGCGAGCGAAACGGCAGAAGGGCAAACCGAAGAGUUUACUCUUCGGGGUUGUAGGACUGCAAUGUGGACUCAAAGAUUAUAGAAGAAUGAUUUGGGAAGAUCAGCCAAAGAGAGUAAUAGCCUCGUAUUUAAAAUAGUCUUUGUACCUAGCAGUAUCCUGAGUACGGCGGGACACGCGAAAUCCCGUCGGAAUCUGGGAGGACCAUCUCCCAACCCUAAAUACUCCCUAGUGACCGAUAGUGAACCAGUACCGUGAGGGAAAGGUGAAAAGCACCCCGGGAGGGGAGUGAAAUAGAACCUGAAACCGUGUGCCUACAACAAGUUCGAGCCCGUUAAUGGGUGAGAGCGUGCCUUUUGUAGAAUGAACCGGCGAGUUACGUUAUGAUGCGAGGUUAAGUUGAAGAGACGGAGCCGUAGGGAAACCGAGUCUGAAUAGGGCGCCUUAGUAUCAUGACGUAGACCCGAAACCAUGUGACCUACCCAUGAGCAGGUUGAAGGUGCGGUAAGACGCACUGGAGGACCGAACCAGGGCACGUUGAAAAGUGCUUGGAUGACUUGUGGGUAGCGGAGAAAUUCCAAACGAACUUGGAGAUAGCUGGUUCUCUCCGAAAUAGCUUUAGGGCUAGCGUCGAUAUUAAGAUUCUUGGAGGUAGAGCACUGUUUGGGUGAGGGGUCCAUCCCGGAUUACCAAUCUCAGAUAAACUCCGAAUGCCAAUGAAUUAUGGUCGGCAGUCAGACUGCGAGUGCUAAGAUCCGUAGUCGAAAGGGAAACAGCCCAGACCACCAGCUAAGGUCCCAAAAUAAUUGUUAAGUGGAAAAGGAUGUGGGGUUGCACAGACAACUAGGAUGUUAGCUUAGAAGCAGCUAUUCAUUCAAAGAGUGCGUAAUAGCUCACUAGUCGAGUGACCCUGCGCCGAAAAUGUACCGGGGCUAAAACAAUUUACCGAAGCUGUGGAUACCUUUAUAGGUAUGGUAGGAGAGCGUUCUAUGUGUGAAGAAGGUGUACCGUGAGGAGUGCUGGAACGCAUAGAAGUGAGAAUGCCGGUAUGAGUAGCGAAAGACAGGUGAGAAUCCUGUCCACCGUAAGACUAAGGUUUCCAGGGGAAGGCUCGUCCGCCCUGGGUUAGUCGGGACCUAAGGAGAGACCGAAAGGUGUAUCCGAUGGACAACAGGUUGAUAUUCCUGUACUAGAGUAUGUAGUGAUGGAGGGACGCAGUAGGCUAACUAAAGCAGACGAUUGGAAGAGUCUGUCUAAGCAGUGAGGUGUGAACUGAGUUAAAUGCUUAGUUCUGUAACAUUGAGCUGUGAUGGGGAGCGAAGUUUAGUAGCGAAGUUAGUGACGUCACACUGCCAAGAAAAGCUUCUAGCGUUUAAACAUACUCUACCCGUACCGCAAACCGACACAGGUAGUCGAGGCGAGUAGCCUCAGGUGAGCGAGAGAACUCUCGUUAAGGAACUCGGCAAAAUGACCCCGUAACUUCGGGAGAAGGGGUGCUGACUUUAAGUCAGCCGCAGUGAAUAGGCCCAAGCAACUGUUUAUCAAAAACACAGCUCUCUGCUAAAUCGUAAGAUGAUGUAUAGGGGGUGACGCCUGCCCGGUGCUGGAAGGUUAAGAGGAGUGCUUAGCGGUAACGCGAAGGUAUGAAUUGAAGCCCCAGUAAACGGCGGCCGUAACUAUAACGGUCCUAAGGUAGCGAAAUUCCUUGUCGGGUAAGUUCCGACCCGCACGAAAGGCGUAAUGAUUUGGGCACUGUCUCAACGAGAGACUCGGUGAAAUUUUAGUACCUGUGAAGAUGCAGGUUACCCGCGACAGGACGGAAAGACCCCAUGGAGCUUUACUGCAGUUUGAUAUUGAGUGUCUGUACCACAUGUACAGGAUAGGUAGGAGUCUACGAGAUCGGGACGCCAGUUUCGAAGGAGACGAUGUUGGGAUACUACCCUUGUGUUAUGGCCACUCUAACCCGGAUAGGUGAUCCCUAUCGGAGACAGUGUCUGACGGGCAGUUUGACUGGGGCGGUCGCCUCCUAAAAGGUAACGGAGGCGCCCAAAGGUUCCCUCAGAAUGGUUGGAAAUCAUUCGCAGAGUGUAAAGGUAUAAGGGAGCUUGACUGCGAGAGCUACAACUCGAGCAGGGACGAAAGUCGGGCUUAGUGAUCCGGUGGUUCCGUAUGGAAGGGCCAUCGCUCAACGGAUAAAAGCUACCCUGGGGAUAACAGGCUUAUCUCCCCCAAGAGUUCACAUCGACGGGGAGGUUUGGCACCUCGAUGUCGGCUCGUCGCAUCCUGGGGCUGUAGUCGGUCCCAAGGGUUGGGCUGUUCGCCCAUUAAAGCGGCACGCGAGCUGGGUUCAGAACGUCGUGAGACAGUUCGGUCCCUAUCCGUCGCGGGCGUAGGAAAUUUGAGAGGAUCUGCUCCUAGUACGAGAGGACCAGAGUGGACUUACCGCUGGUGUACCAGUUGUCUUGCCAAAGGCAUCGCUGGGUAGCUAUGUAGGGAAGGGAUAAACGCUGAAAGCAUCUAAGUGUGAAACCCACCUCAAGAUGAGAUUUCCCAUGAUUAUAUAUCAGUAAGAGCCCUGAGAGAUGAUCAGGUAGAUAGGUUAGAAGUGGAAGUGUGGCGACACAUGUAGCGGACUAAUACUAAUAGCUCGAGGACUUAUCCAAA
rnacentral:rRNA from 1 species